CCUACGGGAGGCAGCAGUGGGGAAUAUUGCACAAUGGGCGAAAGCCUGAUGCAGCAACGCCGCGUGAGCGAUGAAGGCCUUCGGGUCGUAAAGCUCUGUCCUCAAAGAAGAUAAUGACGGUACUUGAGGAGGAAGCCCCGGCUAACUACGUGCCAGCAGCCGCGGUAAUACGUAGGGGGCUAGCGUUAUCCGGAAUUACUGGGCGUAAGGGGUGCGUAGGUGGUUUCUUAAGUCAGAGGUGAAAGGCUACGGCUCAACCGUAGUAAGCCUUUGAAACUGGGAAACUUGAGUGCAGGAGAGGAGAGUGGAAUUCCUAGUGUAGCGGUGAAAUGCGUAGAUAUUAGGAGGAACACCAGUUGCGAAGGCGGCUCUCUGGACUGUAACUGACACUGAGGCACGAAAGCGUGGGGAGCAAACAGGAUUAGAUACCCCUGUAGUC
rnacentral:rRNA from 1 species